UCAUUCAUGAUGACAGUGUCGAGGUCC
rnacentral:sRNA from 1 species